rnacentral:lncRNA from 1 species
AGUGCACUAGUGGGAAGCGUAACUCCACAUCUUACUGAAGAAAUAAAAGAAAAGUCUCCAAAAUCUAGCUAGCUAGCUAGGCCUCUGUAUCAAACUUCUGCUGAUUUAGUCUACUUUAUUGAUUUGACAAACUUCAAUCAUGAUUUUACAGGAUAAAUAUCAUGAUGAUGGAUGUGGUAAGAUAAUAAUAUAUAAAAAACAAACCUUAUUGUUUAAAAAAAAGAUUUUAUUUUUCGAAAAAAAAAUAAUAAAAUAAAAUAAGAUUUUAUUUCAUUUCAUUUCAAAAAAAAAAAAUGUUAGUCAAAAAGGUUCUGCAGCGAAGGAAUUUUAUAUAGCCUAUAUAAUCAGAAGGGUUCGGCGUGAGUCAGGCGUGAGCUGCUUAUAUACUAAUAGUCUAUAUAAUCACAACCAAAUAAAGCAGCAGGAUCUAGCAUUUUUGAUGCGUCUAACGAGGGAAGGACAAGUAUAGGCUAUAGCUUCAAGGGUCCUUUAUUAUGGCAAAAAAGAAGAAAAGAGGAAGCAGCAAGUAAUUAAUCAUGGAGCAACAGGACCUCUCAAAAAUUAGAUAAGUAAAUAUUUUAUUUAUUUAUUUAUUUUUUGAAAAAAUAGAAUAGAAUAGGAUUUUAUUUUAUUUUAUUUUCAAAAAAAUAAAAAAAGUAAAAAUAGGGUUCGACACCUCACUAUAGGGUUCGGCCAACAUCAAAAAUAAAAAUAAAAAUUGGUUACCUCAUUUUGUAUAGGGUUCGGCCAGAAAAAAAAAUAAAUUAGAUUCUUGGUCGGUUGAUAUAAACCCAAUAGCCAAAAAGAGUUUGUUUAUUACCAUUUCCUUGAAUCUGGAAAAAUUGAGGAAAGAUGGACGCAGCAGGGUUUGGCGUGAGUAGAAAGAGACUGUGGCUAUCAUGAUGCAUAAUCAUAUGAUUUUAUUUCAUAUGAUUUUAUGAUUUUGAUUUGAUUUUUUAUUUUAUUUUUUUAAAAAAAAUUUCUUUUCAAAAUAAGAAAUAUUUUAUUUGAUUCCAAAAAAAAAACAAAGAAAGUUUUAAUUUCCAAAAUAAAAUUAAGAUGUGAUUUUAUAAAAUUAAGAUUUGAUUUUAUAUAAGGAAUAAAAUCCUAUGGUUUUAAUUAUAAAUGUAUUAUAUGGUUGAUUAUUAAUUUUACAAAAGUCAAUCAAUUAUGCAUACAUAUAGAUUAUAAAAUAAUAUUUUAUAUAUUAGGUAACUGUGAAGCUAUUAAAUUGUAGUCUUGGCAAUUGCAGAAUAGUAAUAUUGAUUCAUUAUAUCACUCAUUAUAUUACAUAUAUAAUUGAGAUUUUGCAAGGGUUCUCUUUUUGUGUUCAUACUGGCAUACUACAGUUUUAUUUAUGCUUUUAGUAUGGUAACGUUUACUCUCUUAAUGUUCAAUUACGGUAGUUUCUCUUGUAUUAUUAUUAUUAUUAUUNNNNNNNNNNNNNNNNNNNNNNNNNNNNNNNNNNNNNNNNNNNNNNNNNNNNNNNNNNNNNNNNNNNNNNNNNNNNNNNNNNNNNNNNNNNNNNNNNNNNUCAAAAAUAAAUGUGCUAGACCGGGAGAAGCCUCCGCGUGUCCCGAGGCAGAAGACUCGUGAAGGCGGCUCGAUUUGGGAAUUGAUUGAGGGAUUGAUUGGUGGCUAGAAGGACAGGGCAAUAUGGGCAUUAUUCUAAUAACUAAAGGGUAUUUCUGAAAUUUUCCUGAAAGCAUGUGUCUCGCACAUGACUACUUUCCAGAAAACCCUAUAAAUACCCCUUCCAUUCCAUUGAGAAGGGGACUUCUCUUCGGACUCAAGACUUGGACUCUUGGAAGAUCAAAGUGACCCUUUUGGUGACUUAAAGGCUUGGAGAUUCCACCUAAAAGCAUUAAAGGGGUUUGGACAUUCUCUCAACUCGAAGGACUCAAGAAGGCUCUAGGAAUCCCUGCUACCCUAACACGGUUCUCGGAUUCUAGGAGUUCUGCCACGCGUCGUUGGAGUAAUCGCCUACCUGUCGUUCUCCCCUCUAUAAUCAAUCAAUCAAUUCUGUAUUCUUCGUAGAUUUCUCUCCUUCUCAGCCAACACAAAACCUUAACCCUAGCAAGGUACGAUUUCCUUGCCCACAGAAUGCUUUCUGUUUAUGUUCACACAUCAAAUUGGGAGAUCAAUUCAUGGCUAUAUGACCGUAUAUAACAAUAGAAAAAUUACAAUGAUAUAUAUAUUCUAUAAUUAAUAAAUAAAGUACAGUACUAGAUAGCUUGAUCUAGCUAGAGACUAGAACAAAAUGACAGAAAUCAAAGGAAGACUGGAGACAACUUUCUAAACACAACCAUGAGAUCAAUAGGAGCUAGAAUUAUAUGCAUGUAACAGACGUAUAUAUAACUGAGGCGUUGUGCUAAUUAACAAGAUACACUAAAUCUUGGAAUAUUUUGAAAUUUGAUAUUUCCAGGUUACGAAAAUUUUGAUUCAAAAUACAUUUUACAAAAUUCUAUUUUAAUUGGUGAUACAAUAUUAAUCCUGCACUUACAGUUUAACUUAACGGGAUUAGCUAGGUUAGAUUCAAGAAUUAAUUCUGAUAUUGUUUUCAACAACCUUAAUAUGAAGAAUUUUAUUGAUAAGGGAAAAAAAUAAAAAUGAAUUAAGCACAGAUCUAUUUUAAUUUCUGGCAAGGAUAAAAAGAGAGACUAAUUAAAAGGGAAGUCAACUCGUACAAAAUAACAUUUAUUAAUUGAUUAAACAGACAAUUGUAGGAUAAUUAAUGCACAAAUAAGAGACUUAGAACAAGUAAGUGUGAAUAAGAGAGAGAGAGAGAGAAUUAUUAUAGAUAGAUAGAUAAAUAUGCAAAUUAACCAUGGAAUUGGAUGAUGAAGAGUACGUAGUCUUUCCUUAAUUCUUUACCUCAAGAUUCUAGUCAUAUGAAAGCUAGCCACCACAGCUUCCAAACAUAUAUAAGGUUGCUUCAAUUACCCCCAACAAUCCAAAAACUACACAAGUUAAUUGGGAUCAAACUAGACAAAAAGACAUAUCAAGGCAUCAUCGACAGAUCUCGAUCCCUGCUGGAAAUUAUAUAUAUUAAGACAAGGAUCUCUCUCCCUUUCUCCCUCUCUCUCUCUCUCUAUAUAUAUAUAUAUGAUCAGAAGAAUUAAUUAAUGUUAAGAAGAAAUUAACUUCAAAUACGGAAUUGAAGAGAAUGACUAUAUAUCAAACUAACUAGCUAUAUAUAGGAAGUGAUAUAUCU